AACAUCUAUUGGGGAAACGGAAAAAAUAUUUGACCUCAUAUUUCUCAUACCUGACAUGGUAAGUUAAUUUCAUGCCUUCUGGGUGGCCAAGGGAGAGAUUUUUCUUGUACCACAUUCUGCCUCUGACUGCCAGAGUUGUCUCUUAGCUAUGCCUGUCCCUCCAAGACCUGCCCCUACAGCUCCUAUUCCUUCUGGCUGAUGCCAUCCCACUGUGCGGCUGCAUCCUAAACAAUAAUAUUCAGUGCCAUCACUUAGUUAUUUCUGUACCUUUGUCAUUUUCCUUAACAGUAAGGCACAAGUUCCCAAAACAAUGCUAUAAAUAUAUAGGUAACUGAUGUGGUUUGGCUGUGUCACCACCCAAACCUCAUCUUGAAUUUUAAGUCCCACAGUUUCCACAUGUUGUGGGAGGGAACUGGUGGGAGGUAAUUGAAUCAUGGGGGCAGGUCUUUCCCAUGCUAUUCUCAUGAUAGUGAGUAAGUCUCAUGAGAGCUGAUGGUUUUAUAAAGGGGUUUCUCUGCAGAAGCUCUCUUCUCUUGUCUGCAGCCAUGUGAGAUGUGCCUUUCACCUACCGCCAUGACUGUGAGGCCUCCCCAGCCAUGUGGAAUUAGCAGCCCACUUUCAUUGAAGUUACUCUACUGAGGGUGAAGUAAUGUCUUCCUGGGGAAAUCAUAAUGGAGCCUUGGGAGAAACCUCUUUAAAAACCCAGUCGUUUUGGCCUGGUGUCCUUAUAAGCAGAGGGAAAUCUGGACACAGACACGCAUGGAGGGAAGGUGAUGUGGAGACACAGGGAGAAAGCAGCCAUGUCAAGACACAGAGAGAGAGACUGGAGUUUUGCAGCCACAAGCCAAGGAACACCUGGGGCUACCAGAAGCUGGAAGAAGCAAGGAAGAAUCCUAGAGGCUUUGGAGAGAUCAAGGCCCUGAUACCACCUUGUUUUCAGACAUCUAGCCUGCAGAACCACGAGAAAAUAACCCAGUUUAUGGUACUUUGUUAGAGCAGCCCUAGGAAACUAAUAUACUUGAAACCAAGAAAACAACCUAUUUAGAAUAGGAAGUAAACCUGCUGUGUCUCAUGGAGCACAUCACUUUGCAUCCAGGGUUUCAAAGGAAAAAAACAGGAAGGUGAAAGGGAAUAUUUUCCACUUUUCUCUGGGCCCACUAAGGUGAAGCUAUAUAACAUGACUGAUUUCCGAAGAAAAUAACCAGAGGCCACACCUCCAAGUGAAUGCUGAGCCUUUCAGACUUGUUACCCUGAGAAUAGAAACACUUGAGCCAAUCAGUAACAUUUUUUUCUUUUGGUUAAAGUCAAGUGUCACAAUGAAGCAAAGAAAACUCUUAUCUCUGCCGGGCGUGGUGGAUCAUGCCUGUAAUCCAGCAGUUUGGGAGGCCGAGGCGGGUGGAUCACUAGGUCAGGAGUUUAAGACCAGCCUGGCCAACAUGGUGAAACCCCAUCGCUACUAAAAAUACAAAAAUUAGCUGGGCCUGGUGGCGUGUGCCUGUAAUCCCAGCUGUUUUGGAGGCUGAGGCAGGAGAAUCGCUUCUACUCAGGAGGUGGAGGCUGCAGUGAGCCCAGAUUGUGCCGCUGCACUCCAGGCUGGGCGAUAGGGCGAGACUCAGUCUCAAAAAAAAAAAAAAAAAAGAAAAAGGAAAAAGAAAACUCUUAUCUCGCAUGGCUUAUAAAAUAGGCUCUGAGGGCAACAGUGAAUGAGAAUAUUCAAAAUUAAUAAUUUUAACAGAUUCUGAAUUACAUAUAUCACAGAUAUUAAGUAAUAAAAGGAACUUUCAUCUGACGCUUUAAAAAAAAGCAAACAGGCCGGGCAUGGUGGCUCACGCCUGCAAUCCCAACACUUUGCAGGGCCGAGGUGGGUGGAUCAUGAGGUCAGGAGAUCGAGACCAUCCUGGCUAACACGGUGAAACCCUGUCUCUACUAAAAAUACAAAAAAAUUAUCCGGGUGCGGUGGUGGGCUCCUGUAGUCCCAGCUACUUGGGAGGCUGAGGCAGGAGAACAGCGUGAGCCCGGGAGGCGGAACUUGCAGUGAGCAGAGAUCGUGCCACUGCACUCCAGCCUGGGCACCACAGCAAAACUCUGUCUCAAAACAAAACAAAACAAAAAAACCAAAAACCAAACAAACAAACAAAAGAAAUGAUGUCCACAGAGGUUUGAAAACUGACUCACCCAACAUCUUGGAAGCCCGAAGUGGCAGAUUCAAGGCUAGAACCCAGUUAGGAGAGUCCUAAGCUGCCUGUCCUUAGAGAAGUUGCUCUUGGCCUGACUUUAGCUUACAUCAUGGCAUAGCUUCAGUUUUAUGGAGCUACUAAAGAAGGCGCUGCAUCUCCACAUUUCCUCACAGCACCUCACAGACAUACUUCCCUUAAAAAAGGUGAAAAAAAAUCAAGACUGUAAUCUUACCCCAACA